ACGUAGGCACCAAGCGUUGUCCGGAUUUAUUGGGCGUAAAGAGCUCGUAGGCGGUUCGGUAAGUCGGGUGUGAAAACUCUGGGCUCAACCCAGAGAUGCCACCCGAUACUGCCGUGACUCAAGUGCGGUAGGGGAGCGGGGAAUUCCUGGUGUAGCGGUGAAAUGCGCAGAUAUCAGGAGGAACACCAGUGGCGAAGGCGCCGCUCUGGGCCGUAACUGACGCUGAGGAGCGAAAGCGUGGGUAGCAAAC
rnacentral:rRNA from 1 species